GCAUAUCAAUAAGCGGAGGAAAAGAAACCAACAGGGAUUGCCCCAGUAACGGCGAGUGAAGCGGCAAGAGCUCAAAUUUGAAAGCUGACUCCUUCGGGGUCCGCAUUGUAAUUUGCAGAGGAUGCUUCGGGAGCGGUCCCCAUCUAAGUGCCCUGGAACGGGACGUCAUAGAGGGUGAGAAUCCCGUAUGGGAUGGGGUGUCCGCGCCCGUGUGAAGCUCCUUCGACGAGUCGAGUUGUUUGGGAAUGCAGCUCUAAAUGGGUGGUAAAUUUCAUCUAAAGCUAAAUAUUGGCCGGAGACCGAUAGCGCACAAGUAGAGUGAUCGAAAGAUGAAAAGCACUUUGAAAAGAGAGUUAAAAAGCACGUGAAAUUGUUGAAAGGGAAGCGCUUGCGACCAGACUCGCUCGCGGGGUUCAGCCGGCAUUCGUGCCGGUGUACUUCCCCGCGAGCGGGCCAGCGUCGGUUUGGGCGGUCGGUCAAAGGCCCUCGGAAGGUAACGCCCCUAGGGGCGUCUUAUAGCCGAGGGUGCAAUGCGACCUGCCUAGACCGAGGAACGCGCUUCGGCUCGGACGCUGGCAUAAUGGUCGUAAGCGACCCGUCUUGAAACACGGACCAAGGAGUCUAACAUCUACGCGAGUGUUCGGGUGUCAAACCCGUGCGCGCAGUGAAAGCGAACGGAGGUGGGAACCCUUUGGGUGCACCAUCGACCGAUCCUGAUGUCUUCGGAUGGAUUUGAGUAAGAGCGUAGCUGUUGGGACCCGAAAGAUGGUGAACUAUGCCUGAAUAGGGCGAAGCCAGAGGAAACUCUGGUGGAGGCUCGUAGCGGUUCUGACGUGCAAAUCGAUCGUCGAAAUUUGGGGUAUAGGGGCGAAAGACUAAUCGAACCAUCUGGUAGCUGGUUCCUGCCGA
rnacentral:rRNA from 1 species